UUCUCCAGGGGACAUUUACCUGGCAAUUAUCCAGAGAUACUUUUGGGUGUUGAACUAGGAGAACAGGGGAUGUUACUGAUAUCUGUGUGUUGGGGCAGGGGAAGCUACGAACAUCCUCUAAGGUACAGGACAGCCCGUGAGUCUCCGGCCUUGGGACUGCAUUUUCAAGAUGACUAUACUUUGGAAGGUUCAACAAGAGGUCAUAUUGCUUAAUAUUAUAAGUUCUCCAGGUUCUUGGUCAAAUGGUUAUUAAUAGCCACAUUGGGCAACUGGUCACAACUCUUUGAAGCUUUUCCAGACAAAAUAUGCUACAGUCACACUUUGAGCAAAGAACAAUGAAGCUUCCACGGAACUCCUACAUGUUGGAGCUUGUAUCAUCAGGGCACAUCCAAUACAAGAGAGGUUUCCAGAAGGAAGUCUUGGUCCUCCGUGUAUCUCAGUCUCAAAGUUGAAGCUGAGUGAGAUGAGGGGACCCAAGCAGCAGUCAUCAAGUCUGAAGGUCAUAAUACAUUAGAGGAGAUGAGAGACAGCAGUAGAGAACUACAGGGUCCACCACGAACACCAACCCGCUUUGUGGUGUCACUCCAGCUGCUUCCAGAUUUCUCUGCAAGUUUCAGCUCAUUUACCAGCAUUUAGGAUCACUCGUGACUCUUCUCUGAUCCUUCAACUUCCCCCUUCAGAUCUGUGCUUUCCCAGGCUCUCCUGCGGUAGUGUAAGGUCUAAUUCCUCUAAUACAGUCUUGAUUUUACAAUACUCAUAGGAUUUCAACUUCUGUGAUUGAACCCAGACUGAUACAAUCAUGCAACCUAUUUUAUUA